rnacentral:tRNA from 1 species
GCUGAUAGGGCUGCUUUAGCAGGCCAUUUUGAUAUAGUGGUGUGUAAAGAUUAUUCUUUCGUCAGUA